GCACCCGUAGUUCAACUGGAUAAAAUAGGGGCCUCCGACGCCCCCGUUAUGGGUUCAAAUCCCAUCGGGUGUACCA
rnacentral:tRNA from 1 species